rnacentral:lncRNA from 1 species
AAGAGCAGCUAUAAGAGAUGCUAGACAACAGCUUCAUUCAUGGGGUUGCAUGGAUGAGUCUUACUCAACAUUCAACUUGGAGGUCCCUGCCACCAUGCCUAAGGUGAAGGAACUUUGUGGGCUGGACAACGUGGAAAGGUACCUGGGGUGGAAAAUGGGUAGAAAGUGAACUUCUUCAAGAUUGGGCUGCGUAAUUUGUGGGAAAUGCUGCUGUUUUUAGCCACAAAAAAAAUCAUAUGGCCAGAGAGGUCGGUCAUCUAACAACAUAAAGAAACAUAAAACAUUACAAUACUGCUAGUACUUGCACACAGCACAUUAUAUUGUUGCAGUUGGAGAUGUUCUAACUCGGCCCUUUUUAUUGAUGACAGUGAGGUGUAUUCUGGAGUGUUUGAGUAAGGUAAUAGUUAUUUUUUAAAAUAUAUUUUUAUUUAAAAAUACAUUAAAAUAUUUAAAUUGUAACCCGACUCGAGUGGAUGAUUUUUUAGGUCAAUUAAUUUGCUGAGCCAAGCUAAUUUUAAAGUUGGGAAGGAAAUGAUAUAAAAAAAAAAUUGCAUGGCUUUAGAUUUCAUGGACAAUAAUGCUAGCAAGAAUCAAAUGAACGAUAGCUAAGAAAUACUCACUCGCAUAAAAUGCGACCUUGUCACAAGCUUCAAAAUUAUCGUGGGCGACUUUUUGACACAAUGAAACUUAACCUCCGUGAUAAAAUCAAGAAUCUACUCAUAGAUUUCUACCCAAGCAAAAAAAUAAAAUGAAAAAUUGCUCUAAUUCAACUCAGAGUUCUCUCAUAGCUCUCCUCCAUCUCUUAUUUCCAACAAUGCUAGAAAAUAAAAGUUAAUAACUCAAAACUUAUUCAACCUGAUGCAGGACAUGGCGCAUUCUUAGGAAUCCUUGACAUGUUAUGAAGUAGAACUUGGCACGACUGGUUCAGGACUUGGAGCAGAUAAUAGUGAAGCACAGCGUUUCCUGAUCCACAAUGGAGGCAAGAAAGGAUCAAAACUAAAUCCUUUAGGCUUGCACUUGUCAUCAAUUACAGCCAAGACACUGCAACAUUUAGGGCCGACUAAGUUCUUUUGAAAGGUCAGCACCAAGGAUGCAACCUCAUGCAAGCAAAUAUCUGCGUGCGCCUUGAUGGUGGCCAAGCAAUCUUGAAUUUCUACAGGGCUCCGACCGAAAAAUGGUGUUGCAGGAGCUGCCGCUAAACCUGAGGCAACCACCAUGAACCCCAAAGCUAGCGUGAAUACAAUCGAGCAUGUCAUGGUAGCUUGAACCAUCUUGGGUGAAGAUAGACGUGGACCAGCUAAGUGUGAUGGAAGGGUAGAGGAUGCCAUUUUUAUAGGACCAUGCAAGGCAUAACGUCCUUGUAAAUGUUGAUUUAAUUAGCUCCUUUGUAUAACCGACUAGGCAUGGAGUUAAUCGAGUCUGACUAUGUUGGCUGUUUAUUUCUGCAUUUUAAACUGUAUUUAGAUAUGUUCUAAAAAUAUAUUUGGCAUGAAAAAAAUAUUAAAUUAAUAUUAUUUUAGUAUUUUUUAAAUGAUUUUAACAAUAUUAAAUUAAUAUUAAAUAUAUUUAGAUAUGUUUUAAAAAUUAUUUUAAUAUAUUUUUAAAUAAAAAAUAGUAACAAGCAAAGAAAACUACUGUUUACUGUAUGAAGAGGUUUGAUUUAUUGGUGGGUCAGUUUUCUAAAAUCCAGGAAGGAUUGGGUAUUGGGCUAGCGUAUAGAUGGAUUCCGGACAUUUAACCUUGUUUGUGGUGAAAAAAGGAAGAAAUAUCAAAUGUUUCCUUAGCACUGUUUAUCUUUCUUUUUUUAAGUGUUUUUUUUUAAUAAAAUAAAUGAUCUUUUAUAUGAAAAGCGUAAUCGUACGUGUUGAUAUAUUCAAAAAUAAAUUAUAAAUUUUAUAGGUCAAAAACAUGAUUUUAUCUUCAAUAUGACAUCAUUUUUUGAAUGAGUUUGUACAUUAAGAUAAUCUUUUUUAUAUAAUUUUUAAAUGAUAUAUUUUUAAAAAAUAAUAAAUUUUCAUGAAUUAAACAUAUGUUUUUUUUAAUUAUUAAAUCAUGGAUAGAAAAAUAUAUAACAAAAACAUAACAAAAAAAAAGAGCAACAACGAUAAAAAAUAAAUAAAUAGAAACUGAUUAAGAAGAGUUAUAUUGUUUUAGUUUAACAGUAAAUAUUAUCAAUAAUUACUAGUUAAUUACUCCAUAACAGAGAUAGAUAAGGAGGAAACAAAAAGAAAAAUCAGGGAGAAAGUUUUUAAAAAAACUUAUCUGAGAAGAAAUAUUAAAAUUUAAUACAUAAUUCUUUAUUUGCUCUAAGUAGAUUCAUAGAAUAAAUAUUUAGAAUUAUAUUAAUUUAAAACUUCUUCUACAUAAUACUUAAGAGGUUUACAUUAGGAAUAUAAAAAAAAAACUUACCGCAUUAAUUCACCCCAGCUUGCAUUGCAAGUUUGGUAUGUUAGAUCUAUCUAAUAAUCUUUCCAGUACAUAUAUCUUGGAUUAAUUUGAUCUGGUUGGAUUUAAAUUAUAGUUAAUUAAGCUUAAUUUGACACAUUGACUCAUUGACUAGGGUAAAUUAAAAAAAAUUCAAAUCAAAUUUUAAUUAAUUGAAAUGAAUUAAACAGAUCUGAAUAAUUCUGUGAUAUAAACGUGGUCCUAAGAUCGGAAUAUGGGACCGAACUGAGUUUAAUAAAAUAUUGUAUAAAAAUCUACUGAAAAGUAGAGGAGAUCUUGGCAGAGAUAUCAUAUUUGUAAAGUUGAUUAUUGGGCGUUAGGUACAAAUGAAUGUCACUUUCUAUCCCUUUCCCCUACUUAACUCCAACGUAAUCAAUUUUGUCCCUCGCUACUUAACUGUCUCCUUGUCUUAGUUAAACAAUGUGUUUUUUCUAUAAAACCACCGAUAUAAAAAAUAUUAAUUUAAAACAAAUAAAAAAUAAAAAAAAUUAAAUUUUGAAAAAAACACUAAAAAACAAACUGUACCUGCAUCUUACUUUCCCUGUUGCGUGCAUAUUUAUUGCAGACUGACCCAUAUGAGGUGGAGAAUGAUGUUUGAGCAUGCGAGCGACGUUAAAAUAUACAAUGAGGUCAAAUGAAAUGAAAAGGAAAGUGAGAUGCCCCUCCAUUUUAUAAAGCAACUAGGCUCUUUGAAUGUGACUUGUUGGUUUUAGCGUCUCUCAUCAGCCAUCACAAAUAAUUCUGAUCCAUUUUUGUGUCUGUCACGCACAUAUAUUUUACACGGCAAUGGAAGAGGAGCAGAGGGAAACAGGCAAAGCUGGGAGUCUAGUCUUUGCCGUCAACGGACAGAGGUUCGAGGUGUCGUCGAGAGUAGACCCUUCAACAACCUUGCUUGAGUUCUUGCGUACCAGGACAUCUUUCAAGAGCGUCAAGCUCGGUUGUGGCGAAGGUAUUGUUUGCUCUUUCUUUUUCCAGAACUGCACUUGAUUGUACGUUUGCAUACCGUGUCUGAUGUGUGAUAGGCAUAGGGUCAUCUAUGAACUGUUUUUGUCUGUUAAAUUAUAGAUGGAUAACAUCACCUCGCAUUUCACCAAAGUUAUUAUACUCGUGACUCAGUGUAAGACUCGAGUUAUUGGUUAAAUAGGAUGACCCAAGCCAAUUAAAACAGUACAAUGAUAUCAUUUUGAAUUCUCUUCAAAAAAGUAAAGUUUUAUUUUGAUCAUGGGUUAACUUAUUAUAAUUGAAUAUAUCAGGUAAUUCCCACCUAGUUUUUUUUUUAAAACACAGCUUGAGCCAAGUUUCGAGUUGACCCGUCGAGCCGGAUUUAAUAACACUACAUUUCACAUGUAUUGUUUACAAUAUUUUUCAUUUGCAUCUUAAUUUAUUUUAUUCAAGUUGUGGGUUUACAUAUUAUAACUGAUUAUAUUGGUCAACUUCCACCUAGUUUCUUUUUAAAACCCAGCUCGAGCUAGGUUUUAAGUUGACCCGUCAAGCCUGAUUUAAUAACACUACAUUUCAUAUGCAUUAUUUUUUAAUAUUUUUCAUUUGCAUCUUAAUUUAUUUAUUUUUACAAAAUUCAAUCGGUGAAAAUUUAUAGUCUGUCAAAUAUAAAUUAGAACAGCCAAAUAGCAAAUAUACACAUCAAACCAACACCAUGGUUUCAAUCUGGUAGUGAGACUCUAAAAGCUUAAAUGUCAUGACCCGAAUCUCUAGUGCAUGACUAGCAAUGCAGGAGUGGCACCUAAGAAAACACUUUAUCUAUGGUAAACCUCAAAUAUACUUUUCACAAAACAAAUUAUAUAAAAUCAUCUAGUAUUUCAUAAACUUUUAAAAUAUUUCUCAAAACCAAUAAAAAUAAUUAAUAAUUCAAAAUACUCAUUACAUUAAAUAAAAUUUAAUCUUUAAAAUAAAAAUCUAAACUUGAAAAAAAAUCAGCAUAAUGGAGCUUUCCAAGACUAUUAUAUUACUCUUUCCGGUUCAAUAUUAUUAGUUGGGAGGCAUUUAAACUAUUAUAUUGAUUUCAAAAAAAAAAAAAUUGAGCCUUUAGGUGGUUUCUCAUGAUUUGUUCUAAUUUAUGGUUUUAGGUGGUUGUGGUGCUUGCAUUGUUCUACUCUCCAAGUAUGAUCCUGUGCUUGACCAAGUUGAGGAUUUCACAAUCAGUUCAUGUCUCACACUGCUUUGCAGUGUGAAUGGAUGUUCGGUUACAACAUCGGAAGGCCUUGGAAAUAGCAAAGAUGGAUUCCAUCCGAUUCACCAGAGGUUCAGUGGUUUCCAUGCUUCUCAAUGUGGCUUUUGUACUCCUGGAAUGUGUGUUUCACUCUUCGGAGCCCUUGUUAAAGCUGAAAAGAAUGACCAAAGGGAGCCUUCUCCAGGAUUCUCCAAGCUGACAGUCGUUGAAGCUGAAAAGGCUAUCUCAGGAAAUCUUUGUCGCUGUACUGGAUAUCGACCCAUUGCUGAUGCGUGUAAGAGUUUUGCAGCUGAUGUUGAUAUUGAAGAUUUGGGAUUAAACUCUUUUUGGAAGAAGGAAGAGAGUCCCGAAGCGAAGAUGAGUAGGCUACCUUUAUAUGACCAUAAUCAUGAGAUAUGCACUUUCCCUGAAUUUUUGAAAAGGGAAAUAAAAUCUUCCUUGCUUUUGGAUUCUGAAAGAUAUUCUUGGUGCACACCUGCUACUGUUGAGGAGCUUCAGAGCUUAUUAAAAAGCAUUGAUGCCGACUGCAAAACCAGGAUGAAACUAGUGGUUGGUAACACAGGUAUGGGUUAUUACAAGGACCUAGAGCACCAUGACAGGUACAUAGAUCUCAGAUGUGUUCUGGAGCUCUCGAGUAUUAGGAGGGAUGAAGAAGGAAUCGAAAUCGGGGCAGCUGUCACUAUUUCUAAAACUAUUGAAGCUCUGAAGGAAGAAAAUAACAGUGAGUUUAAUUCAGAAUGCAAGAUUGUGUUUAAAAGAAUUGCAUUGCACAUGGAGAAGAUUGCUUCUGAAUUUGUUCGAAAUACAGGCAGUGUAGGGGGGAAUUUGGUGAUGGCACAAAGGAAACAUUUUCCAUCAGAUAUUGCCACGAUACUGCUGGCAGCAGGUGCAUUUGUUCACAUUCUAACUGGUACCUUGCAUGAAAAGCUUACUUUAGAUGAGUUUCUGGAAAGGCCUCCAUUGGAUUCCAAAAGUGUGCUAUUAAAUAUUAAGAUUCCAAAUUAUGCAGCAUCCAAGAACAUAUCUUCUGAAAUGGACAGCAAGUUGUUAUUCGAAACUUAUCGUGCUGCACCGCGACCCCUUGGAAAUGCAUUGCCCUAUUUAAAUGCAGCUUUCUUGUCUGAAGUUUCCUGUUUGAAAUCUUCUGGUUCAGCCGUGUUAAAUAAAUGCCGGGUCGUUUUUGGUGCUUAUGGAACCAAACAUGCUAUCAGAGCAAAGGAAGUUGAGAAAUUUUUGUCUGGAAAAAUACUAACCAUUGGUGUUCUAUAUGAAGCUGUUAAACUGGUUAAAGCCAAUGUGGUUCCUGAAGAUGGCACGCCGAGUCCGGCCUUCAGGUCAAGCUUAGCUGCUGGUUAUCUCUUUGACUUUCUCUACCCCUUGGUAGACAUUAACUCUAAAAUUUCUGGUGUUUGGUCGGAUGAAUAUUGUAAUACUUCAUUGUUCAAGGAUGCAAAAAUAAAACAGAAGUACAGCCAGCUUGAUCAUGUUCAAUUACCCACUUUGCUGUCAUCAUCAGAGCAGGUGCUUGAAUUAAACAAUGAUCAUCAUCCUGUUGGUCAGCCUACUAAGAAAGUUGGAGCCGCCCUUCAAGCUUCUGGUUUGUAGUCUUCCAUCAUCGAGUUGCAUAAAUAAUGAUCAGCGUAAUCUAAGGGCUGCUUCCCUCAUAGAAUUAAGUGCUGGUCUCAUUUAUCUCACUUUUAGGCAUCUUCACUUUACUCAUGUAACAAAUUAUGCAGGAGAGGCUGUUUUUGUGGAUGACAUUCCCUCUCCUACAAAUUGUCUACAUGGAGCAUUCAUUCAUAGCAUGAAGCCUUAUGCAAGGGUCAAGAAUAUCAAAUUCAAGUCUAAAUUACUACCAGAUGGAGUUUCUGGGCUGAUUUCGGUCAGAGACAUUCCAAAAGGUGGGGAGAACAGAGGUUGCACGACUAGGUUUGGCACUGAAUCUUUGUUCGCAGAUGAGCUUACGCAGUAUGCUGGAGAGCGUCUUGCUUUUGUGGUAAUCACCUCAUCCAGUAUUUUUAUAUAAUAACAUCCACCUCAGUUCUGUUGAUUUUAGAUGUCAUUAUUUAAAUGCACUACGGAAAUAUAUAAUUGGAUUGUGGGAAUUUGUGCCUAAUCUAGUCUACCAAUCGACCCUCUCAGGUUGCAGAUACACAGAAACAUGCUGAUAUAGCAUCCAACCUUGUUGAAGUUGAUUAUGACAUUGAAAAUCUAGAACCACCCAUUUUAACUGUAGAAGAGGCCAUUAAGAGAUCUAGCCUUCUCGAGGUUCCUCUUCUCCUCUACCCCAAACAAGUUGGUGAUAUAUCAAAAGGAUUGGCUGAGGCUGAUCACAAGAUUCUCUCUGCCAAGGUACUUUCGCUCCCUCUUCCCUCCAACUCGCUCCACUCAUUUGAAUAGAAAAUAAAAACGAAGAAAAUGUUCUUCUUUUAUGAGGGCAUAGAUAGUUACAAGCCUAAAAAGUACAUAGACUAGGUGCUUUUCUAGCAUCAGAUUUCAACAUUGUGCAUCUGUGCUUACUGCUAACUUUCUGCUGCUUCGUUGCUUUAGAUAAAACUCGGUUCACAGUACCAUUUCUAUAUGGAGACUCAAACUGCCCUUGCGCUUCCUGAUGAAAACAACUGCAUGGUGGUUUACAGUUCAACCCAGUGUCCCGAAUAUGCACAUGUUAACAUUGCAAAAUGUCUUGGUAUUCCUGAGCAUAAUGUGCGUGUGAUUACAAGGAGAGUCGGAGGAGGCUUUGGUGGAAAGGCCAUGAAAGCAAUUCCUGUGAGUUUCAUUCUAAACAAAUCUCCAUGUCUUAAACUUCCGUCAACAAACUAAGUCUUGGUUUCGAUUCCAAACUUAUUGAUGUUUUGUUACUACGUUCCUGUUCUCUUGUGUAGUGCUGAACUUUCUAUAAAAGUUGUGAUAUAAUCCUUUUUUCACCGCUUCAGUCCACACGAUUUUCAGUUUAUUUCUCCUUGAUGAUAGAUUUACCAUUCCAUUUCUCUGUUAUCAAUUGGUGCGAGUACUUACAAUGGGAUGUAAUGUUAACGUUUAGGUUGCUACAGCAUGUGCUCUUGCAGCGCACAAGUUUCGUCGCCCUGUGAGAACGUAUUUGAAUCGCAAGACCGAUAUGAUAAUGGCAGGAGGAAGGCAUCCCAUGGAAAUAACUUAUAAUGUAGGAUUUAAAUCAAAUGGGAAAGUUACAGCCUUACAGCUUGAUAUAUUAAUCAAUGCUGGAAUAUCUUUAGAUAUAAGUCCACUGAUGCCAAAAAACAUUCUGAGUGGGCUAAAAAAGUAUGACUGGGGUGCUUUAUCUUUUGAUAUAAAGGUAUGCAAAACAAAUCAUUCAAGUAAAACUGCAAUGCGAGGCCCUGGGGAGGUACAAGGAUCAUACAUUGCAGAAACCGUAAUCGAACAUGUAGCGUCUACCCUUUCCAUGGAUGUAGAUUCUGUGAGAAACAUAAAUUUUCACAGAUAUGAUAGCCUUAAAUUAUUCUAUGAUGUUGCCUCAGGUGAUUCUGUAGAGUAUACUCUAACAUCAAUAUGGAAUAAGUUAGCAGAAUCUUCAAGCUUCAAACAAAGGGUUGAAAUAAUAAAGGAGUUCAAUAGGUGUAAGGUGUGGAAGAAAAGAGGUAUUUCUCGAGUGCCUAUUGUGCAUCAAGUGUUCGUGCGACCAACUCCGGGGAAAGUAAGCAUUCUAAGUGAUGGGUCGGUUGUCGUUGAAGUCGGCGGAAUAGAGUUGGGUCAAGGGCUCUGGACAAAGGUAAAACAAAUGGCUGCAUUUGCUCUCAGCUCAAUCAAAUGUGACGGGGUAGAAAAUCUUCUGGACAAAGUAAGGGUAAUACAAGCUGAUACUCUGAGUUUAACUCAAGGAGGAAUGACUGCAGGGAGCACCACAUCAGAGUCAAGCUGUGAAUCAGUUAGACUUUGCUGUGCAGUCUUGGUUGAGAGACUGGGACCUCUAAAGGAAACGUUGCAGGGGCAAAUGGGUUCCGUAACAUGGGAUGCGCUCAUUUGCAAGGUACUUGUUUACAUUUCUUGAACAUUCUAUUUGAGAUAUUUCUUAGUUGGAACCUCAAGACCGAAACUUGUCAAUGAUUCCUUCAAUAAUGUGGUCCUUGCAGGUAGGUUUUAUUUUUCUUUCUUUACAUUCAAGUAUUUGUUAUGAGAAGAAAUCUUCAUGCAUUUUUCUGAAUUGAUUGUCAGGCUGCUAUACUGACAGGAUAUGAACUUUGAUAUUCUUUUGAUAUUGACAUUUAGAUGCUCAAGUUCUUUGCUACCUUACUCUUAGUCAUUCAAAAUGCAGGCAUAUGUGGGAUCACUGAAUUUAUCAGCAUCUUCACAUUACAUCCCUGACUUUACUUCGAUGCACUACUUAAACUAUGGCGCUGCAGUAAGUGAGGUAAGGUUUUCCAGAACACCUCUAUCUAAUUUCCUUCAGUGCAUGAUCUGAAACUAGAGUAAAACUUCUGAAUACAAACUGGAAGAUGGGAAUCCUGCUUCAUAGAAGAUUACAUGCCUAAUUUUCUGCAGGAAUACUAAUGUGAAGCUAUGGUGACACAGGUAGAGGUAAACCUUCUGACAGGGGAAACAACUAUUUUGAGAUCAGAUAUUAUAUACGAUUGUGGACAAAGUCUCAACCCUGCGGUGGAUUUAGGACAGGUUCGCUAGCUGUGACAACUCAGAAUCAAAUUCUUAAGUUCAUAGAUGUUUGUAAAUUUUAAGAGGUUAGGAUUGGUGCAUGUAGAUUGAAGGAGCCUUUGUCCAAGGGAUUGGUUUUUUUAUGCUUGAAGAGUACACGACGAAUUCUGAUGGACUAGUGGUUGCAGACAGCACAUGGACAUAUAAGAUCCCUACAAUAGACACCAUACCAAAACAAUUCAAUGUGGAAAUACACAACAGUGGACAUCACCAGAAACGUGUUCUCUCUUCAAAAGGUAAGCUUUUCAGAGUUUUUUUUCUUUUACAGAAGAGCAUAAUGGAUGUCUCUAUGGAUGCAAGGCAAUAUCUUUUACCUUGCCAUGGAUGAAUGCAAGUAGCUAGUCUUCUUAAACUUCCAUUUAUAGGUGUUUGAUGAUGAAAUUAUCAUGCUUUGUGCAGCUUCCGGGGAGCCACCGCUACUCCUUGCAGCAUCAGUUCACUGUGCUACAAGGGCAGCUAUAAGAGAUGCUAGACAACAGCUUCAUUCAUGGGGUUGCAUGGACGAGUCUUACUCAACAUUCAACUUGGAGGUCCCUGCCACCAUGCCUAAGGUGAAGGAACUUUGUGGGCUGGACAAUGUGGAAAGGUACUUAGGGUGGAAAAUGGGUAGAAAGUGAACUUCUUCAAGAUUGGGCUGCGUAAUUUGUGGGAAAUGCUGUUGUUUUUAAGCCACGCAAAAAAAAUCAAAUGGCCAGAGAGGUCGGUCAUCUAACAACAUAAAGAAACAUAAAACAUUACAU